rnacentral:misc_RNA from 1 species
UUUCCGUAGGUGAACCUGCGGAAGGAUCAUUAUUGUAUAACCGAGGUGCGAGGGCUGUCGCUGACCCGAAAGGUCGUGCACGCCCGAGUGCCCUCACACACAUCCAUCUCACCCCUAUGUGCACCACCGCGUGGGUCCCCCUUUGGCUUGUUCGGAGGGGGGCUUACGUUUUCACACAAACUUUGUAUGCAGUGUAGAAUGUAUUUUUUGGUUCUGCGAUCACGCAAUCAAUACAACUUUCAACAACGGAUCUCUUGGCUCUC